GGAUGUGAGGGCAAUCUGUGACAUCUGUCACCCCAUUGAUUGCCAGGGUUGAUUUGGCUGAUCGGGCUAGCUAGGCGGGUGUUCCUUUCCUCCCUUACUUAUUGCGCCAUGUGCGUCCCUCUCGAAGCUGUGUGCUCAGUCAAAGAGGACGACCAUCCCAGAUAGAGGAGGACCGUUCUUCUGUCAAGGGUAUAUGAGUAGCUGCACUCCACUGCUAGCUAGAACCUCCAAACAAGCUCUCAAAAAAAAAGGAGAGAGAGAGAGAGAAGGAAGGAAGGAAGGAAG
rnacentral:snRNA from 1 species